rnacentral:rRNA from 1 species
AUUGAACGCUGGCGGCAGGCCUAACACAUGCAAGUCGAACGAGUGGCGGACGGGUGAGUAAUGUCUGGGAAACUGCCCGAUGGAGGGGGAUAACUACUGGAAACGGUAGCUAAUACCGCAUACCAUCGGAUGUGCCCAGAUGGGAGUAGCUAGUAGGUGGGGUAACGGCUCACCUGGGCGACGAGCCCUAGCUGGUCUGAGAGGAUGACCAGCCACACUGGAACUGAGACACGGUCCAGACUCCUACGGGAGGCAGCAGGGGGGAAGAUUGCACAAUGGGCGCAAGCCUGAUGCAGCCCUGCCGCGUGUAUGAAGAAGGCCUUCGGGUUGUAAAGUACUUUCAGCGUGGAGGCGUUACUCUCAGAAGAAGCACCGGCUAACUCCGUGCCAGCCGCCGCGGUAAUUC